rnacentral:lncRNA from 13 species
ACUGAAUGUAAAAACUCAAAUGAGGCGGAGCACGGUGGUUCACACCUGUAAUCCCAGCACUUUGGGAGGCCAAGGUGGGCGGAUCACGAGGUCAAGAGAUCAAGACCUUCCUGGCUAACAUGGUGAAACCCACAUCUCUACUAAAAAUACAAAAAUUAGCUGGGCGAGGUGGCACACGCCUAUAGUCCCAGAUACUGGGGAGGCUGAGGCAAGGGAGUUGCUUGAACCCAGGAGGCAGAGGUUUCAGUGAGCUGAGAUUGGGUCACCGCACUCCAGCCUGGCAACAGAGCGAGACUCCAUCUCAAAAACAAAACAAGCAAACGAAAAACUCAAAUGAGAUAAUGCUGAUCUCAAAUAUUUUGCCAUAAGUUGGGGAGUCAAAUAUAAUACGAUUACUCUAUAGCAUGACAAAUGCUAAGGGCUUUAAAAACCAGAUCCUAACACAUCUUGUAAAUGUUUCAUUAAACUUAUUUUUUCAUUAAUAAUCAAUAUGAUGAUUAUUCUAUUGAUCUUUCCAACUGUAUCAGAUUAGUCAUAACAAUAUACUAAAGGCUAUAGCAUAUUUCAUUGAGAAAUUAAACAGAGUCAGAGGACAUACUUUGGAAUAGUUUUCCUUUUUCCAGAACUGCCUGCUGAAGGUCAAGUGGGUUUAUCAUGAGACCCUCUUUGCAGGGUCCCAUCAAGAGAUGAUGAUUUAGCAUUGCCUAGCAGAGCCCACGUCAAGAAGCCCUGUGAACAUUACUGCUGCGCUGUCCUACCUCUAUUCCCUGCAGAGUGGCUCAGGCUUGCCGGGAUGUGGUCUUAGGAGAGAGAAGGAAUCUCUCUUCGAAGCAAUCUGAAAGCUUGCUGACAAAAAAUGAUGUGCAUGAAUGUCACCCUCUCCAUAACCCCAAAGAAAAAGACAAUUUGUGGAAUAUGAGUAAAUUCAGCCUCAUGUGACAGAAAACCUUUGAUUUUGUUUUUAACUUUAUAGGACUAGGCAACAAUAUUUUUUGUGGGUUUGUAGCUU